rnacentral:rRNA from 1 species
GAUGAACGCUGGCGGCGUGCCUAAUACAUGCAAGUCGAGCGAGCAGACGAGGAGCUUGCUCCUCUGACGUUAGCGGCGGACGGGUGAGUAACACGUGGAUAACCUACCUAUAAGACUGGGAUAACUUCGGGAAACCGGAGCUAAUACCGGAUAAUAUAUUGAACCGCAUGGUUCAAUAGUUAAAGACGGUUUUGCUGUCACUUAUAGAUGGAUCCGCGCCGCAUUAGCUAGUUGGUAAGGUAACGGCUUACCAAGGCGACGAUGCGUAGCCGACCUGAGAGGGUGAUCGGCCACACUGGAACUGAGACACGGUCCAGACUCCUACGGGAGGCAGCAGUAGGGAAUCUUCCGCAAUGGGCGAAAGCUUGACGGAGCAACGCCGCGUGAGUGAUGAAGGUCUUCGGAUCGUAAACCUCUGUUAUUAGGGAAGAACAAAUGUGUAAGUAACUAUGCACGUCUUGACGGUACCUAAUCAGAAAGCCACGGCUAACUACGUG